rnacentral:lncRNA from 1 species
CUGCCCCACCUACAGUUCUGCUUCCUCCUAAGGGGCAGCUCACGGCCAGUGACUGACCUUCUUGCUUCAAUUUAGGACAAGUGAAGGGCCAACCCUGCUCCAGAGCUCCCUGCAGGAUCCGGAAAGCUGCCAGGUUUGGGACGCCUGGAGUGAGAGGCAGCUCCACAAGCGCAGUUGCUGUGCAAGCUGCUCUUCCACUGUGGCCACAGAAUCCAGCAGAUGUGAAGGCACUAUGCUUAUCAGUGGACUUUCCAAGUUGGAGGCCUCACUGUUGCUUCAAGUGUGGUAUGGCAGCACCCAUCUGCUGUGUCCAUCUACACUUUAUUAUAUAUCUAUGCACCUCAUCAGGGAAGCACGGGAACCCGCAGGCACUGCUAGUAGGAAGGCAAGCUGGCCUGGCCAUUCUGGAGAAGAACAUGGCAGUAUACUCAGUCACAUUCCAGUCGCACAGCCUGUGAUUUGGGUAUGCAUCAUGGAUAAAUGUUCAUUGUAGUGUUAUUUAGGAAAUCCAGGAGCUGGAGAUGGAAAGCAAUGUGCUUGAACUAGGUAGGAUGUAUACAGCUCAAAUGGGCCAACUGUUAAAUUUUCAGGAAUUUGGUGAGCUAGUUUUUAUACCCCGUUAUUAUUUAAAAUCAAAUUAUAUAAACUUACCACUAAAUAACAUAUAUUUUUAAAAGUAAUAAAUACUUAAAACACACUGCUUCCUAGUGCUUUCACUAGACUGAACCAUCAUCUUGGCUUCUGGGGUCACUGAGGCCUACUGUAUCUCCCUGGUGGACAUCCCACCUCAUGGUGUGCUGCUGCUGCCAUUCUCUGCUGGUUCUGUGUUCAGGGAUGUCCUGUUGGUAGCUUGAAAGAGGCCAUGGUGGGAAUAAUUACACUAUGGAAAUUAGCAAACCCUAUUUUGGCUAACCCUGACAGCUAAUUGUUAAACAUUUACCAGUUCACUGGAGACUAGUAUUACUCCCCUUUACAAAUGAGAAAAAUGUGGCUCAGACAGCGUAUGAAACUUGCCAAGAACCACACAACUUGUGACUGGUGCAAAUUGGAUUCAGACCCAAGCCUGUCUCAGACCUUGUACUUUACUUUGAUGAAAAUUGGAAGUGAGUUAUAACGUUUAGACUAUAAAAUUCCCAAUACUUUACCACCAACAUUGCACUUAUGUUUUUGUUUAAAAAAAAAAAAGUCUAUGGCUGCCUGCACCUGAGUACAGUGUGAAAUCAAGAAACGGCACAGUUUUUAGAAACAUCUGCUUACUGAUUGAGCUUCAUUAACUCCUCAUGUGAGAUCCCAGUCCUGAACCACAGGUGCUGUUGCUUACAGUGCGUAAGAAAAAUAAAUGAGUUCAGCUUCCAGGUUAGUGCUGUGAGGUUACAUAAACUAAUCAUUAAACAUGACAGCUAAGAUAUUUUAGCUACUGUUUAACUUUAAAAGAUUUGUUAAUAAAUAAUGCUAUUGCACACUGGAGGCCUUGACCCUGUCUCUACCUGAGUCACAAACCUUUGUGUUUGUAUAGAAGUUACACUAUUUCCUACAUUUGACUUGAAAUUUAGUCACAUUUUCUUCUCAUUGUCAAUUAUCUACUUUCUCUCUCAUUCAUUCAGUCAUCAAUAAACAUUGAAAAUGAUGAAUGCAACUUGAGACCAAAAGAGUUGGGAAAAAUCCUUUCUAACAUGACUGAAUGAAAAUAUUUCAUGAAUCAAAUGCUCUCUAAAAUGUGAAUAUGAGGCAAACAACCUCCUGGACGACUAAAUGGUCAGAUGCAAAGGUGAACUGACAUGAGCUCCUAAUUGGAUUUUGUAGGCCAACAUUUUUUUAAAAAGUAUUUUUAAUAAGGAAAAUUUCAAGUGUUUACAAAAGUAGAGAAAACAGUACAACAAAUCUCCCUGUACCUAUUGUCGAGGUUCAACCAUCAUUAACUCAUGGUCAAUCAUCUGUCAUGCCCAUCUUGUUUGAUGCGUGUCUGCUUCCAAACCUGUCUGCCUUUCCAAUCCCAGCAAUGCCAGGGCAUUUCACUUUUCAAUUUAUUAUUUACAUAUAUAUCCUAAGUGGAUACAUUCAUCUACUGUACUCUACACACUGGGUUCCACAAAAGCAAGCAGACAUGUGUGGUGCUGUACAACUACUUUUAUAGAACUUGCCACCAUACAUUUAUAAAUUAUAACCAUAUAAUGUACCAACAAUGCUUUGAGGUAGAAUACUACCACUUUACAGAUGAAGGAACUGAAACACAGAGGUUAGGCAACUUGCCCACCAUCACACAGUGAGUUAAGCAGCAGAACUGAGAUUUGAACCCAAACAGUCUGGUUCCAGAGGCUAUGCCUUUAGCCAUGACACCACAGCCUUCACACAGGAAUUUACAUGCACUACUGAACGCUCAACUGCUUAGCCAAAGCUUCUGCAUUGGAAUGGUUCCUGCCUUGUUACCCCAGAUCAAUGAAUAGAGACUUUCCUUAAAACACUAUUCGGAUGGCUCUCCUCAUCCCCAAACAAUACCACAAGUUACUCCAGGGCAUAUUCUGUUUAUAAUUUUGAAAUGUCAGGUUUCAUUUCAUUCAUGGCAUCAAAACUUUGAAAUUUGCUGAGAUGAAACUUACGGCACAGUAUAUGAUCAGUUUUUAUAAAUAUUCAAUGUGUGCUUGAAAAGAAUAUAUAUUCUGCAAUUGUUGGGUUCUAUACACAUCCACUAGAUUGUUAGUCAUGUGUUCAGCUUUAUAUGCAUAUAAAAUGUUAAAAUUUCUCAUCAUGACUGUGGAUUUACAUAUUUCGCCUUGUAGAUGUGUCAAUUUUUGCUUCAUGGGUUUUGGAGUCUUUUUUUGCAGAUGCAAAUCUAGAAUCAGUAUACUUUGCUGGUGAUCUGGACUUUUUAAUCAUUACAAAGUGAGCUUCUUUAUUCUUAGUAAUGCCAUUUGCCUUAAACUAUUUUACAUGAUAAUACCAUGGUAUAACUUAAUUCCAUCAUUUUACUUUCAACCUAGUACACAGGCUUUAGGUGUACCUAUUAAGUAGCACAUAACUGGCCAGGCUCAGUGGCUCACACCUGUAAUAUCAACACUUUGGGAGGCUGAGGUGGGAGGACUGCUUGAGCCCAAGAAUUUGAAACCAACCUGGGCAACAUAAUGAGAUGCUGUCUCUACAAAAAUUAUGUUUUGGCUUCGAUUUUACUGUUAAGAAGUGUAUUUCUCACUUUUUUUUAAAGGUAAGCACUCUCUAUUUUGUGCCUUUAAAAUGUUCUCAUUGUCUUUAGUUAUCUACAAUUUUUACUAUGUUGUAAAUUUCCGUUUAUCUUGCUUGACAUUUCUAUGGUCUUUGAAUCUGUGGAGUAAUGCCUUUCAUCUGUUCUGGAAAACUCUUAGGCAUCAUCUUCUACAAAAUUGACCCCAUCUUAUUCUUCUCUCCUUCCUCUGGGACUCCAGUUAAACAUAUAACAGAUCUUCUCCACUGUAUUAUUUAAGAUCUUACUCUCUCUUCUGUUUAUUCUCUAUCCCACAUCUUUUUGUCUUUUCAUUCUUCAUUCUGUAUAUAGGCAUACCUUGUUCAACUGCACUUUGGAGAUACUGUUUUUUGUUUUUACAAAUUGAAGGUUUGUGGCAACCCUCUGUUGAACAAGUCUGUAAGCUCCAUUUUUUCCAACAGCACGUGCUCGCUUCAUGCCUCUGUGUUGCAUUUUGAAAAUUCUCACAUCAUUUUCAUUUUUUAAUUACUAUUAAAUCUGUGAUGGUAACUUGUGAUCAAUGAUCUUUGAUGUUACUACAGUUGUUUUGAGGCAUCGCAAAACAGACUCUUAUAAGACAAUUUACGUAAUUAAUAAAUGUCGUGUGUGUUCUGACUGCUCCCCUGACCAGUUGUUCCCCAACCUCUUGCCCUCUUCUCAGGCCUCUCUGUAUUAGUCCAUUUUCAUGCUGCUGAUAAAAACAUAUCUAAGACUAGCCAAUUUACAAAAGAAAGAGGUUUAAUGGACUUACAGUUCCACAUAGCUGGGGAAGCCUCGCAAUCAUGGUGGAAGGCAAAGAGGGGCAAGUCAUAUCUUACAUGAGUGGCAGCAGGGAAAGAGAGAGCUUGUGCAGGGAAACUCCCUUUUUAAAACCAUCAGGCCUCAUGAGACAUAUUCACUAUUAUGAAAAUAGCACAGGAAAGACCUGC